GCAGCUUGCUGCGGGUACUCGAGUGGCGAACGGGUGAGUAACACGUGGGUGAUCUGCCUUACACUUCGGGAUAAGCUUGGGAAACUGGGUCUAAUACCGGAUAGGACAGCUGUUUAGUGUCAGUUGUGGAAAGUUUUUUCGGUGCAAGAUGAGCUCGCGGCCUAUCAGCUUGUUGGUGGGGUAAUGGCCUACCAAGGGCGUCGACGGGUAGCCGGCCUGAGAGGGUGUACGGCCACAUUGGGACUGAGAUACGGCCCAGACUCCUACGGGAGGCAGCAGUGGGGAAUAUUGCACAAUGGGCGGAAGCCUGAUGCAGCGACGCCGCGUGGGGGAUGAAGGCCUUCGGGUUGUAAACUCCUUUCGACAGGGACGAAGCGUAAGUGACGGUACCUGUAUAAGAAGCACCGGCUAACUACGUGCCAGCAGCCGCGGUAAUACGUAGGGUGCGAGCGUUGUCCGGAAUUACUGGGCGUAAAGAGCUCGUAGGUGGUUUGUCGCGUCGUCUGUGAAAUUCCGGGGGCUUAACUCCGGGCGUGCAGGCGAUACGGGCUGACUUGAGUGCUGUAGGGGAGACUGGAAUUCCCUGGUUGUAACCGGUGAAAUGCGCCAGAUAUCAGGAGGAACACCCGAUGGCGAAGGCAGGUCUCUGGGCAGUAACUGACGCUGAGGAGCGAAAGCAUGGGUAGCGAACAGGAUUAGAUACCUGGUAGUCCAUGCCGUAAACGGUGGGCGCUAGGUGUAGGGGGCUUCCACGUUCUUUCUGUGCCGUAGCUAACGCAUUAAGCGCCCCGCCUGGGAGUACGCCGCAAGGCUA
rnacentral:rRNA from 1 species